rnacentral:lncRNA from 1 species
AUUUUUUCAAUGGACAGAUUCACUUUACAGAGAGAAGGAGAAAGAGUAGCCAGAGAAGCCCAGCUAACGGUCCUAGGGAGGCCACAGUAGGCAACACAGCGAAUACGAAAUGUGGUGCACCCUGAGAGGGAAGCCUCAGGUUUCUGCAAGCUUUCCACAGAAAAUUCCAUGUUAAGAAACCUGGCCUUGGAAAACUCAAGAUUCUUGAUUUUAAGGCAAUGACCCUAGAAGUCUGAUCUUCAUCAUCUGCUUGCACAAGAGCGAUCAUCCAAGAAUCGGCAAUUCUAUUGCUAAGCCUGAGAGGAUAAUGGUAUUAUCCCUGAAAUCCAUCAGUGUCUUCAGUCCAGACCCUCGAGUCUUCAGUCCAGAGAAAACACUGCAGCACAUCCAGCUUUGAAGAGUUCUAAAAUACUACAGAACUGCAGCAUAGUUAUAU